rnacentral:misc_RNA from 1 species
GAGAAUUCUCUUACCAUGUCUUGGCUGAUUUAUUCAUCGCAACAACAAAUUGCUCAUGGUUAUCUCCUUCUCAAUACAGCUCAAAACAUUUAGAAAGCUGCUGGACAAACUUAUUCCCAACUGGGCAAUGAUGCUCAUGCAUAUCAGUUGAGGAAGAAAGUUCAUGAAACGAAGCAAGAGGAGAUGACAAUAGCACAGUAUUUUUUUUUAAACUCAGCAGAUUAUGGCAGGAGCUUGAUUACUACUACCUGGACUUUCAGGCAUCCUGUACAGCUGAUGCAACCAAAUUCCAAAAACUGAUUGGAAAACAACAAGUGUUUGAU